GACGAACGCUGGCGGCGUGCCUAAUACAUGCAAGUAGGACGCAGUUGCGAACGGGUGAGUCACGCGUAGGUAACAGCCUAUUAGAGGGGGAUAUCUAUAGGAAACGAUAGAUAACACCGCAUACUAGUAGAUGGACCUGCGUUGUAUUAGCUAGUAGGUAGGGUAAUGGCCUACCUAGGCGACGAUACAUAGCCGGCCGUGAGGGGUGAUCGGCCACAAGGGGACUGAGAAACGGGCCAGACUCCUACGGGAGGCAGGAGGAGGGAAUCUUCGGCAAUGGGGGGAACCCUGACCGAGCAACGCCGCGUGAGUGAAGAAGGUUUUCGGAUCGUAAAGCUCUGUUGUGAAGGAAGCGGUACUUAACCAGAAAGGGACGGCUAAAUACGUGCCAGCAGCCGCGGUAAUAC
rnacentral:rRNA from 1 species